AUUGAACGCUGGCGGCAGGCUUAACACAUGUAAGUCGAGCGGAGAGAGGUAGCUUGCUACUGAUCUUAGCGGCGGACGGGUGAGUAAUGCUUAGGAAUCUGCCUAUUAGUGGGGGACAACAUUUCGAAAGGAAUGCUAAUACCGCAUACGUCCUACGGGAGAAAGCAGGGGAUCUUCGGACCUUGCGCUAAUAGAUGAGCCUAAGUCGGAUUAGCUAGUUGGUGGGGUAAAGGCCUACCAAGGCGACGAUCUGUAGCGGGUCUGAGAGGAUGGUCCGCCACACUGGGACUGAGACACGGCCCAGACUCCUACGGGAGGCAGCAGUGGGGAAUAUUGGACAAUGGGCGGAAGCCUGAUCCAGCCAUGCCGCGUGUGUGAAGAAGGCCUUAUGGUUGUAAAGCACUUUAAGCGAGGAGGAGGCUACUUUAGUUAAUACCUAGAGAUAGUGGACGUUACUCGCAGAAUAAGCACCGGCUAACUCUGUGCCAGCCGCCGCAGUAACAC
rnacentral:rRNA from 1 species